AAGCCAUGUCACAAUUGAGGUGACAUGGCUACAUAAGUAGAGGCUGGUCUGGGAUACCUGCCUAAUUUCUGAUUCUUGAUGGUAUUUCAAGUUAUAAGUGAGUGUAACUAGUUACUCUAAUAAUUUUGGAGGGCAUUUUUGUUUAUCAUUACUUUUGUUCUGCACAGGUGCAAUUUUUUUUUAUUAACUAUUUUUAUGGCCGAGUUAAAUCAUAGUUGACUCUGGAACUGUACAGAUGAUAUAUCUUGUUGAAGGAUUUUGGAGAACCAACAUUCAGGGGACUACGGACUACCACACUUUUCAGUUUCAAAUUUUGCUAUUUUCACAUGUGACUUAUAGUUUGUCUGUAUUUAUGUCUUGGAGCCUCAGUUGUUUCUUGGAGUAAGAAACAAAACAUUGUAGCAAGCUCAGCGUGUAAAGCAUAAUAAAAGGCAUCAGUUAUAAGAGAAGCUCAAUGGAUCAUCCAUAUUCUGCAAGAAGUAAGCAUCAAGCUGGAGAAGCCGACUACUAUAUACUGUGACAGCCAGUCUACACUACAUAUUGCCGCCAAUCCAGUUUUGUACGAAAGAACAAACACAGAGAGAUGGACUGCCACAUAAGUGAGGGAUAAAUGGCAAGAGUAGGUCAGAAAGCUUUUGCCAGUUUCAAUGGUUAAUCAAACCACAGACAUGCUAACCAAAGCAUUGGCCCAUGGCCCCAAGUAUGUUUUAGAAGUGUCAUAGCAAACUGGGAAUGGUGAAUGGAUGUAUCUGAUUCAAGCUUGAGACGGGGGUAUCACAUUAUUGGCUUGUUAGAAUGAUCGUUCUAUGGUUACAAUAGAUGAAAGUGGCUAGUUAUUUAGUUAGUGCCCGAGCUGACAAGUUCGUCACAUUGCAGCUUUGGACGGGAUUUUUGUUAGAAACUAGAAGUUGGUUAGUAGAUACGUACACAUAGUAGAAUGAGAAUAGAUUGCUAUGAAGUAUAUAGGAUACGUUUCAGUGUCCCACUUGAUUAGAGAGAAAAGAGACCAGAAACUUUGAACACCCUCACAUCUUCUCAUCCCUUCCGUCAUAUCAUCUAAAGAUUCAAUUUGGUU